GACGAACGCUGGCGGCGUGCCUAAUACAUGCAAGUAGACCGCAGUUGCGAUCGGGUGAGUAACGCGUAGGUAACUGCCUCCAAGCGGGGGAUAACUAUCGGACACGAUACCUAAUACCGCACACUGUGCGAUGGACCUGCGUUGUAUUAGGUGGUGGGGUAGGUAAAGGCUCACCAAGGCGACGAUACAUAGCCGACCUGAGAGGGUGAUCGGCCAAACGGGGAGUGGGGCACGGGACAGACUCCGUCGGGUGGCAGCAGUGGGGAAACUGCGACAAUGGGCGGAAGUCUGGCCGAGCAGAGGCGGGGGAGUGAAGAAGGUUUUCGGAUCGUAAAGCUAUGUUGUUAGGGGAGCGGUAAAUAACCAGGAAGGGACGGCUAACGACGUGCCAGCAGCCGCGGUAAUUC
rnacentral:rRNA from 1 species